rnacentral:rRNA from 1 species
UACGUAGGGGGCAAGCGUUGUCCGGAAUUAUUGGGCGUAAAGCGCGUGUAGGCGGCUCGGUAAGUCUGCUGUGAAAGUCCAGGGCUCAACCCUGGAAUGCCGGUGGAUACUGUCGAGCUCGAGUCCGGAAGAGGCGAGUGGAAUUCCUGGUGUAGCGGUGAAAUGCGCAGAUAUCAGGAGGAACACCAAUGGCGAAGGCAGCUCGCUGGGACGGUACUGACGCUGAGGCACGAAAGCGUGGGGAGCAAACAGG